rnacentral:rRNA from 1 species
UACGUAGGUGGCGAGCGUUGUCCGGAUUUACUGGGCGUAAAGGGAGCGUAGGCGGACUUUUAAGCGAGAUGUGAAAUACCCGGGCUCAACUUGGGUGCUGCAUUUCAAACUGGAAGUCUAGAGUGCAGGAGAGGAGAAUGGAAUUCCUAGUGUAGCGGUGAAAUGCGUAGAGAUUAGGAAGAACACCAGUGGCGAAGGCGAUUCUCUGGACUGUAACUGACGCUGAGGCUCGAAAGCGUGGGGAGCAAACAGGAUUAGAUACCCGUGUA